ACGCAGCUAUGGUGGCGACCCACAGCCCUGGUAAUCGCUCGCUCCAUGCCCGCAGGGAUGUUUGUGGGAGUGGAGUCGGCCCAGGGAGCGAACCCCUGCAGGAUUCCCGAGGAGACCUUUGAGUCGGGCGGGCUCGACGUGCAGGGCACGGGGGGCUCUCUGGAUGAGGAGGAGGAAGAGGAGGAGCGAUUCCACACUGUGCUGGAGCAGCUGGGGGUGGCCCCGGUCCUGGGCGAGCAGCGGGCUGUGAGGACGCUCUGGGCCAGGCUGCAGCGCGAGCGCCCAGAGCUGCUGAGCUCUUUCGAGGAUGUUCUGAUACGCGCGUCGGCCUGCCUGGAGGAGGCGGCCCGGGAGCGCGACGGCCUGGAGCAGGCGCUGCGGAGGCGCGAGAGCGAGCACGAGAGGGAGGUGCGCGCUCUGUACGAGGAGACGGAGCAGCUUCGGGAGCUGAGCCGGCGCCCGCCGAGUCAGGUGGGCCUCGGGCCCCGCCCCUCCCGCCAGGUCCAAUCCCACCUCGCUGGCCUCCCUGGCUCCGCCUUCUCUGAAUUAGUCCCUCCCCGACGGCCCCACCUCCGCGGGUCCAGGCUGCCCUCAGCCCCAGUAGACCCCACUGGGUCUAUCACCCCCGCCCGGUCUUCUCCACCCGACCCCGCUCCGCCCUGGCCCACUGGCAGCCCCUGGCCCUCCAUGUACCUCUUUUGCCUGGCCGAGCGGCCGACGGAGGCUCAGUGGUCCUCCGUGCGUCCCAGAACUUCGCCCGCGGGGAGCAGAGAAGCCGCCUGGAGCUGGAGCUGCAGAGCCGCGAGCAGGACCUGGAACGCGCGGGCCUGCGGCAGCGGGAGUUAGAACAGCAGCUGCACGCCCGGGCUGCGGAGCACCUGGAGGCGCAGGCCCAGAACUCCCAGCUGUGGCGGGCGCACGAGGCGCUGCGAACGCAGCUGGAGGGGGCGCAGGAGCAGAUCCGCAGGCUGGAGAGCGAAGCGCGAGGCCGCCAGGAGCAAACCCAACGGUGCCCGGGGACGGGGCUGGGCGGCUCCCGGUGCGUGUCCCGAGGGCGGGGCCGACGGGCGCUCAGGUCUGGGCCACUUUCAUCCCCAUCUCAAGUCCCAGGCCCGCCCCGUGGGAGGGAGGGUCUUCUAGGGGGUCCUGGGGCUCCCCAAGGAGCCUUCCUGCAGCCGGGUCACCACCUCCCACCCACAGAGACGUGGUUGCCGUCUCCAGGAACAUGCAGAAAGAGAAAGUCAGCCUGCUACGGCAACUGGAGCUGCUCAGGGAGCUGAAUACACGGCUGCGGGAUGACAGGGACGCCUGCGAGGCCAGGCGGGAGGGCAGCAGCUGCAGGAAGGCUCUGACAACAGCCCGCCUGCCUGGGCCCACCUGCUGCUGCUGCUGUUGCUGGGCUCGGCCCCCCAGACGCUGCUCUGGCCACCUUCCCAGUGCCCGGUGACCAGCCCCGAGUGACUCACGGACCAUGAGCUAGAAGCUGCCCUUGCAGGAGGCUUGUCAUGGGUGGGGGGUGCCCACUCAGGAUGCAGGCUCUCCCCAGGGGGCCCCAGGCUAGCCUGACUGAAGACAUGAAGGACCUAGCCUAGGAGUGGCCAGGGUCCCGGGAGUGGCCAGGGUCCCGUGUGCCCUCUGCCAGUCUUCGCUCUGUCCCCAUUCAAUCAACCCCAUCUCAGUUCAGCAGAAAAACCCCCUCCUCAAAUAAAACCCACUGACCGC
rnacentral:sRNA from 1 species